AGUGAACGCUGGCGGUAGGCCUAACACAUGCAAGUCGAACGGCAGCACAGUAAGAGCUUGCUCUUACGGGUGGCGAGUGGCGGACGGGUGAGGAAUACAUCGGAAUCUACUUUUUCGUGGGGGAUAACGUAGGGAAACUUACGCUAAUACCGCAUACGACCUACGGGUGAAAGCAGGGGAUCUUCGGACCUUGCGCGAUUGAAUGAGCCGAGGUCGGCUUAGCUAGUUGGCGGGGUAAAGGCCCACCAAGGCGACGAGCCGUAGCUGGUCUGAGAGGAUGAUCAGCCACACUGGAACUGAGCCACGGUCCAGACUCCUACGGGAGGCAGCAGUGGGGAAUAUUGGACAAUGGGCGCAAGCCUGAUCCAGCCAUACCGCGUGGGUGAAGAAGGCCUUCGGGUUGUAAAGCCCUUUUGUUGGGAAAGAAAAGCAGCAGGUUAAUACCCCGCUGUUCUGACGGUACCCAAAGAAUAAGCACCGGCUAACUUCGUG
rnacentral:rRNA from 1 species